CCUCCAUGUUCCUGCUCCUGGUGACAGCACCGUGGGCAGAGCUUCCACCCAGCGCCGUCCAGCAUGGAGCUGCUGCCGCGGAGCCCUGGGCCCAGGCCGGCCCCCGUGUCAGCACGUCCAGCACGGACUUCGCAUACCUGGGUGCGGCUCCUUGCCCUGCCUCUGCUCAUGUUUUUAAGCGUCCACCAGGGAAGGAGAGCCUUGCUCACGGCACUCGGCCGACGACGACUCUGCUGAUGCUUGGAUCUCAGACUUCCAGCACCAGAACGGCAAGAAGAUAAAUUUGAUUUUAAGGCCAUCUCCUUCCCCCCCCAAAAAAAACCCUAAAAUAAAAAUAAAAUAAAAUAAAAUAAAGGAAAAUAUC